rnacentral:rRNA from 1 species
GACGAACCGUCCUAACGUUGUUCGGAAUCACUGGGCUUAAAGGGCGCGUAGGCGGGCUCUCAAGUCCGGGGUGAAAUCUUUCGGCUCAACCGGAAAAUAGCCUUGGAUACUGGGAGUCUCGAGGGAGGUAGGGGCGGGUGGAACUUCCGGUGGAGCGGUGAAAUGCGUUGAUAUCGGAAGGAACGCCGGUGGCGAAAGCGACCCGCUGGACCUCUUCUGACGCUGAGGCGCGGAAGCCAGGGGAGCAAACGGG